rnacentral:misc_RNA from 1 species
GAACUUUUAUUUGGCAUGACUAUUGUUAUUAUGCAUCAUUGUGCCAAAGCCUCAUUUAUUGAAAUAUUUUUGUUUAAAAACAUUGGAGUAAAAAAAUUAUUGGAUUAUUUGGUGGUUGUUAGAAGUGUUAGCAAAACUACCAGGGUUGCACUUCUUAGCCCCUAAUAAGGCCCAUUCGUUUGGGCACAUCUAAAGCUUAGGAGACGCAUGCCUAGGCUUGGGGCUUUUGGAACAAAAUAGUACACUUUUGUAUUAUACAUUGCAUGAUUAUUUGUAUUUAGUAGUAAGCACAUAAUAAAUGUUAUUUCAUUUUUAUGUGAUUUGAUAUAUGCUUUUAAAGAUAUUGUUAGACUUAUGCUUUAGGACAGUUAAAUAGCCUAUGUAGGAUGGGACCUACUACUUUUUUAGCAAAAAAUUCUCUGAUUUAAGCUGAGAGGUUAAAUAAAUUAAUCCAGCAUUUUUUCAAAAUUUCUCCUUAUUAUAUUUUUAUAAAUCAUCUUCAUGUAAGUAUAAUACAUUUUAUAGAAAAAUAUUUUAGGGUUAAUUACAUAAAAC